GGCCACUGCGCAUGCUCCCCAGCUGGGCCGGCUGCGGACGCGGGAAGGGAGGUGGUGGCGACUGACGGAACUGGGUGAAGCUUCUGCAGAUGGCCUCCCCUCUCUGCGACUGGUUCCUUAUCGAGGCAAUGGAGAUGUGGACUGCGGUGACUGAUCAAGCCUCACAUAUCUACUGAAUCAGGAAGCCCGAAGGCCUGAGGCCUCCCGAGUGGCCCCAUGGGAGCGUCGUGCAUUUUUCUGGUCAGUCAGUCAUUAGGGGAAACGAUGAAUGAGCCAGGCCAGCAUGAGAAGGCCUGCAUGCUAUCGGAUCUUUUUCCUGAAAACAUCGACAUGGGACAUGUUCAAACCAAAUUUUCUUUAUAAGUUAUAAGAAAAUCAGGCGGAGGCUAAACUUUUUUUUUUUUUUGGCAAUGCUGUUGAGAAUAUUACAUUAUGUUCCCACAAUAGCAUAAAUGUAUGUCUUAUCACUUGAAUGGAGCCCAGACAAUAAAAGGGCGCCUGAGAGUGGAAAUACGCCUAUGAGAAAGGCCAAGCCAGCCUUUCGUGAUAACAGCAGCAGGGAGGGAAGAGUGCACAGAGCUGACCACAGCACAAAUGUCGCAGACCCUUGAGGACCGCGCCAGGGCUCAGAGCUCCACCCAAGGGCUUGUGAUCCUCACCCCAGCCAAGUUCCUUCAGACCCCAGGGUCUUCGUUUCGUGACUUAUAAAAUGGGAAUUAUAUGUCAUGGGAGUGUUGGGGGGAAAAUGCAACCAUUAGCAAAUGCUUUCAAAUAUAAUAUGUAUUAUCAAUAUCA
rnacentral:lncRNA from 1 species